AAUUAGUAGAACCCGUGCAUGGCCCAAACAAGACCCAUUACAACUUUAGCAAAGUAUGAACAAGGGAGGUAUGAAGAUAUGCAUGUGUGAAUAGUUGGAUCUAUGGGUCUGGCUACACGGAGCCCACGACAAGGCAAUGCAAAAUGAAAUGAUUCACCAUCCAAAAACACAUGCCAAUCAAGAACACGUUAAUCACUUUAAACAAUUCAAACUUAAAAUUAAAGUUAACUUCUCCCUCCAACUAACCUCACCCUCCCCUCCACCGCGCCAGAGGUCACCUCCUGCAGCGCCGGAGACCUAACGUCCAAAAAAAUCACAUCACCUUCCUUACCUCAUUGACCUGAAUCCAAAAACCACCAUGGAACAAGCUAAUUCUUCAUCAGCAGUCUGAAUCGAAGCAAUUCCUUGAAGAACCCUAACACUCUAAACUAAAAGUUAAAUCACGCACGUUAGAAAUUAAAGCCAUAGAGGUUAGGGCUUCGAUUCCCCUAACCGAAACCUACAUCCUGGUAACCAGCCCAAAGAAAACAGCUAAGAAAGGGAUGAUACUCAUCGGAGAAGACGCGGAGGUCACCGGAAUCAGGAAAUGGAUGGACCAAUGCAAGGAUUCCUUGUUCUUGAAGAAACAAUUGGAGAUUAGGUUUUAGGAAUGGGAAAAAAUAUGAGUUGAAUUUGGUCAACUGGUUGACCAAAAAGUCAAUAGUUGACCAAAAAUAAACUUAUGCAAACAUGUAGUUUUAUUUGUAAUAUUUUCAAUGCAAUGUGUUGUGGACAAUGUAAUCAAUGAAUCUUAUAAAUGCAAUGUACUUCUUAGUUUAAAAUGUUCUAAUGAAACAAUGACCAUUUUCAAAUUCAA